GAAAAAACAUAUUUCUGUUACCUUUGUGAAUGGGAUUAUUGUAAACUUGGGGGAAAUCCUCACAUUCUUCGUGGCUGAACCUGUUUUCUUGGUGGUUGAAGAUUCAGCAAAUGAUGCUAAAUUU
rfam:Vitis vinifera, whole genome shotgun sequence of line PN40024, unoriented chromosome 1, chr1